UACGUAGGGUGCGAGCGUUGUCCGGAAUUAUUGGGCGUAAAGAGCUUGUAGGCGGUUUGUCGCGUCUGCUGUGAAAAUCCGGGGCUCAACCCCGGACUUGCAGUGGGUACGGGCAGACUAGAGUGUGGUAGGGGAGACUGGAAUUCCUGGUGUAGCGGUGAAAUGCGCAGAUAUCAGGAAGAACACCUAUGGCGAAGGCAGCUCUCUGGGACGGUACUGACGCUGAGACGCGAAAGCGUGGGGAGCGAACAGG
rnacentral:rRNA from 1 species